AAUUCCCUGCCUUGUUUGUGAUGAUCCUGGUAUUUUUGAGCCAACGCCUAGUUUGCGGAGAUCAGAAGUCCGGGUCGGAGUGCACUCUUCGGAGUUCGCGAAGCCCGGAAUACGAUUUCCACUUUAACGACUAGGUUCAAAAGCCCGCUUCACACGACAAGAGCGGGGAAUUU
rnacentral:other from 1 species